rnacentral:lncRNA from 1 species
AUAUAGAAUUAGGCUACUAUACUAUCUAUAGUACCGAGCUUCGGUACUAUAGUGUUUGUUUUCGAUCUUAGGGCGUUCAAAUCAACGAUCCACACCGUUAAAUAUGAUCUAGGGUAUAAGAAUGUCUUAGGAAUAAAAUUUUAGUUUUUUUCGAUAUCGUUUACUUAGUAAAUAAAUUAUAUCAAAAUGGACGGUGAAAAUUGAAUAAUCUUUAAAAUUUGAGUAUAUGACUUUUAAAUUCAAGAUCAAGAAUGUUAACCUUAAUCUAUAUAGUUUAAAGUAUUUUCUAUCAAAAUUUGAAUAAAUUUAGAUUCUUCUACACCGUUAAACUCCAAACUUGUCAUAAUAGCCAUUGAAAAUUGACAAUUUUGAAAUAGUUUGAUCAUAAAGUAAACUAUGUCGAAAAAAUAUAAAAUUUUAUUUCUAGAAACUUUAAAUACUCUAGAUCAGUUUUAACGGUGUGGAUCGUUGAUUUGAACGCCCUAAGAUCGAAAACCAACAUUAUAGUACCGGAGCUCGGUACUAUAGAUAGUAUAGUAGCCUAGCUCUAUAUAUAU